rnacentral:tRNA from 1 species
UGGGAUGUAGCUCAGUGGUAGGGUGUUUGCCUAACAUGUAUGAGGCGCUGGGUUCAAUCCCCAGCACUGCAA